rnacentral:lncRNA from 1 species
AAAAAAAAAACAAAAGAAAACAUGAAGUGGGAAGGGAGGAUACAUUGUGCACAUACCUCAAAGAAAUGAGAGUGAAUGAAACUGGCAAGACACUGGGAGGGCACACCUGUGAGGUAAAUCAGAGGGAAAUGAGAAGAGCAUGGUGCCCUAGAAACCAAGUGAAGCCAGGGUUUCAAGGAGGAGGGGUCAACUCACGAGACGCUGCUGAUGCACUGCGAUGAGGAUAGAAAACUAGGCAGAAGCCUUAACCACAGGGAGGGCACAGCAUCCUUGACAAGGGCAGGCGGGGGACAGUGGGACGUGAGAAAUCUGAAGUUCAAGGUAGACCAGGUGCAGUGGCUCAUGCCUGUAAUCCCACUACUUUAGAAGGCCAAGGUGAGAGGAUCACUUGAGCCCAGGAGUUCGAGACCAGCCUGGGCAACAUAACGUAGUGAGACCCCCUCAUCUCUUCUUCCUUUUUUUUUUUUUUUUUCUUUAGACGGAGUCUCGCUCUGUCGCCUAGGCUGGAGUGCAGUGGUGCGAUCUCGGCUCACUGCAACCUCCGCCUCCCAGGUUCAAGCGAUUCUCCUGCCUUAAACUCCCAAGUAGCUUCUACAGGCGCGUGCUACCACACCCGGCUAAUUUUUGUAUUUUUAGUAGACGGGGUUUCACAGUGUUAGCCAGGAUGGUCUCCAUCUCCUGAUCUCGUGAUCCGCCCACCUCAGCCUCCCAAAGUGUUGGGAUUACAGGCGUGAGCCACCAUGCCUGGCCUUUUUUUUUUUUUUUUUUUUGAGAUGCAGUCUCACUCUGUCACCCAGGCUGGAAUGCAGUGGCAUGAUCUCAGCUCACUGCAACCUCUGCCUCCCAGGUUCAAGCGAUUCUCUCGCCUCAGCCUCCCGAGUAGCUUGGACUACAGGCACACACCACCAUGCCUGGCUAAUUUUUUUUUUUUUUUUUUUUUUUUUUGAGACAGAGUCUGGCUCUGUCACCCAGACUGGAGUGCAGUGGCGCAAUCUCGUGCAAUCUCGGCUCACUGCAACCUCUGCCUCCCAGGUUCAGGCGAUUCUCCUGCCUCAGCCUCCUGAGUAGCUGGGACUAGAGGCGGGUGCCACCACACCCAGCUAAUUUUUGUAUUUUUAGUAGAGAUGGGGUUUCACCAUAUUGCUCAGGCUGGUCUUGAACUCCUGACCUCAUGAUCUGUCUGCCUCAGCCUCCCAAAGUGCUGGGAUUACAGGUGUGAGCCACCAUGCCCGGCGAUGCCUGGCUAAUUUUUGUAUUUUCAGUAGAGACGGGGUUUUACCAUAUUGGCCAGGUGGCUCUGAAACUCCUGACCUCAAGUGAUCUGCCCGCCUUGGCCUCCCAAAGUGUUGGGAUUACAGGCAUGAUCCACCACGCCUGGACUUUUUUUUCCUUUCUUCUUCUUUUUUUUUUUUUUUGAGAUGGAGUCUCACUGUCGCCCAGGCUGGAGCGCAGUGGUGCGAUCUCGGCUCACUGCAACCUCUGCCUCCAGGGUUCAAGCAAUUCUCCUGCCUCAGCCUCCUGGGUAGCUGGGAUUACAGGCGUGUGCCACCACACCCAGCUAAUUUUUGUAUUUUUAAUGAAGACGGGGUUUCACCAUGUUCAGGCUGGUCUUGAACUCCUGACCUCGUGAUCCUCCCACCUCAGCCUCCCAAAAUGCUGGGAUUACAGGCGUGAGCCACUGUGCCUGGCCUUUUUUUUUUGUAGAGACAAGAAUUCACUUUGUUGCCCAGGCUGUUCUCAAAUUCCUGGCAUCAAGCGAUCUUCCUGCCUUGGCCUCCCAAAGUGCCAGGAUUAUAGGCGUGAGCCACCACGCUUGGCCCAAGACCCCCAGGUCUACAAAAAACAAAAAACUAGGCUGGGCACGGCGAUUCACACCUGUAAUCCCAGCACUUUGGGAGGCCAAGGCAGGCAGAUCACCCGAGGACAGGAGUUCAAGAUCAGCCUGGCCAAUAUGGUGAAACCCCAUCUCUACUAAAAAUACAAAAAAUUAGGCAGGCGUGGUGGUACAUGCCUCUAGUCCCAGCUACUUGGGAGGCUGAGGUGGGAGAAUCACUUGAGCCCAGGAGUUUGAGACUCAGUGAGCCAUGAUCACACCACUGCGCUCCAGCCUGGGUGACACAGCCAGACCCCAUCUCUAAAAAAGAAAAAGAAGUUGAAGGGGGUUAAGAGCAAACAGGGAAGGGAGGAAUUGGGGAUGUGAAUAUAAGCAACUUUUUGGAAUUUAGUUAUAAAGGGAAGCAAAGAAAUGACACAGUAGCUGGAAGGGGAAUGUGGCACCAAGAAAAGACUAUUUUGUCUCACUCUGUUGCCCAGGCUGGAGUACAAUGGCAUGAUCAUGGCUCACUGCAACCUCCGCCUCCAGGGUUCAAGCAAUUCUCCCGCCUCAGAGUCCUGAGUCGCUGGAACUACAGAUGCACACCACCAUGCCUAAUUUUUCUACUUCUAGUAGAGAUGAGGUUUCACCAUGUUGGUCAGACUGGUCUUGAACUCCUGACCUCAGAUGAUCUGCCCGCCUUGGCUUCCCAAAGUGCUGGGAUUACAAGCAUGAGCUACUGUGCCCGGCCUUUUUUAUUUUUUUGAGAUAGAGUUUUGCUGUUGUUGCCCAGGCUGGAGUGCAAUGGCAUGAUCCUGGCUCACUGCAACCUCAGCCUCCCAGGUUCAAGUGAUUCUCCUGUCUCAGCCUCCUGAGUAGCUGGGAUUACAGGCGCCUGCCACCAUGCCCAGCUAACUUUUGUAUUUUUAGUAGAUAUGGGGUUUCACCACGUUGGCCAGGCUGGUCUCAAACUCCUGACCUCAAGUGAUCCACCUGCCUCAGCCUCCCAAAGUGUUGGGAUUACAGGCGUGAGCCACCACGCCUGGCUUUUUUUUUUUUUUUUUUUUUUGAGACAGGGUAUUAUUAUGUCAGCAAGGCUGGAGUGCAGUGGCACUAUCACGGCUCACUGCAGCCUUGACCUCCCCAGGUUUGUGAUCCUUCCACCUCAGCCUCCAGAGUAGCUGGAAAUACAGGCGUGCGCCACCACACCCAGCUAAUUUUUUACUUUUUGGAAAGAUGGGGUUUCACCAUGUUGUUCAGGCUGGUCUGACACUCCUGGGCUCAAGCAAUCCUCCCACCUUAGCCUCCCAAACUGCUGGGAUUACAGGCAUGAACCACCGUGCCCAGCAAGAAAAGAUUUUUUUCCAAGAUAGAAGACCAAGUGAGAUCCUCACUUACGCUUCUCUUCAUCUCUCCUUUUUUUUUUUUGAGACGGAGUCUCGCUCUGUUGCCCAAUCUGCAAUGCGUGGCACAAUCUCAGCUCACUGCAACGUCUGCUUCCCAGGUUCAAGAAAUUCUCCCACCUCAGCCUCCCGAGUAACUGGGAUUACAGGCUUGUGCCACAACACCUGGCUAAUUUUUGUAUUUUUAGUAGAGACGGGGUUUCACCAUGUUGGCCAGGCAGGUCUCGAACUCCUGACCUCAGAUGAUCCGCCUGCCUUGGCCUCCCAAAGUGCUGGGAUUACAGGUGUGAGCCACCACACCUGGCCCUCAUCUCUCCUCUUGCUUGACAAACCUACACAGCCUUUUUGACCUGCCUCCUCAAACCCAGAAAUAUUUUUGCAAAGCUCUAUUCCCCAGAGGAUUCUGAGCUGUAGGAGGUGAAAGCCAGGGUCCUUUGUUCCUGCUUUCUUUGUUCCGACUUUAUGCUCUGUGGCUUUCAUCUCCUGGGGCAAUGAGUUGGGCUGCCCUUUGGCAGGGCUCAGGACCAGGGUGUGAAAUUCUAGAGCAGAAAGAACAAAGUUAGAUAUUUCAAAAUAUCAUCCUGCUCCUUUUAUUUCAGGCCCUUGAUCCACUUGGAUGCCCCUUUCUUUUUUUAUUUAUUUUUUAUUUUUGACAGUCUCGCUCUGUCGCCCAGGCUGCAAUGGUGCGAUCUCAGCUCCCUGCAACCUCCACCUCCCAGGUUCAAGCAAUUCUCCUGCCUCAGCCUCCCAAGUAGCUGGGAUUACAGGCGCCUGCUACCACACCCAGCUAACUUUUUGUAUUUUUUUUAGUAGAGAUGGGGUUUUGCCAUGUUGGCCAGGCUGGUCUCGAACUCCUGACCUCAGGUGAUCCACCCACCUCAGCCUCCCAAAGUGCUGGGAUUACAGACGUGAGCCACCGCAUCUGACCUGUAGAUGAACCUUUCUAAACAGGGCCCGCACUGGGCUGUGGGACUCCCUGCCUUCUGCAGGUUUGGUGGGGCAGAUACCUUUCUCCACCCUAGGACUGUAUUUGUUUUCAAGUAGUCUGGCCAAAGCAAUAUUCCCUAAACUUUAGGCAUUCUUGGAUCCCUUUAUGAGUUUUGCUAUUUUGGCAUGCUACAUGUAAGUUUUGCUUAAUGUUUUUAUGUAAAGCAUCUUCCUCCUUUUACUUCUUUUAUUGUGAUAAAACUCAUAUAAAAUUGACCGUUUUGAAGUGUACCAUUCAGUGACUUUUAUUACAAUGUUGCAAAACUAUCACCACUAUAGUGCCAAUUUCUCAUCAGCCCAAAAGGAAGCCCCCUUGUGUUUACACACACACACACACACACACACACACACACAAACUGUGUCCUCCCAUCCCUUGG